rnacentral:rRNA from 1 species
UACGUAGGGUGCAAGCGUUGUCCGGAAUUAUUGGGCGUAAAGAGCGUGUAGGCGGCCUUACAGGUCAGCUGUGAAAACUCGAGGCUCAACCUCGAGACGUCGGUUGAAACCGUAUGGCUAGAGUCCGGAAGAGGAGAGUGGAAUUCCCGGUGUAGCGGUGAAAUGCGCAGAUAUCGGGAAGAACACCCGUGGCGAAGGCGGCUCUCUGGGACGGUACUGACGCUGAGACGCGAAAGCGUGGGGAGCAAACAGG